GACGAACGCUGGCGGCGUGCUUAACACAUGCAAGUCGAGCGGUAAGGCCCUUUCGGGGUACGACGAGCGGCGAACGGGUGAGUAACACGUGGGUGACCUGCCCUUAGCUCUGGGAUAAGGCCUGGGAAACCUGGGUCGUAAUACCGGAUAUGACUCCAUGACGCAUGUUGUGGGGUGGAAAGCCUUGUGCGGCUGAGGAUGGGCCCGCGGCCUAUCAGCUUGUUGGUGGGGUGAUGG
rnacentral:rRNA from 1 species